rnacentral:rRNA from 1 species
AUAGCGCGGUGGUCCCACCUGACCCCAUGCCGAACUCAGAAGUGAAACGCCGUAGCGCCGAUGGUAGUGUGGGGCUUCCCCAUGUGAGAGUAGGGAACUGCCA